AAUGUGGAACCAAUUUUUUUUCCAAACAAAUAGCUUCAGGAAAUGCUCUGUUGUGAACCGCCGCAACAUUUCGCAUGCGGCUCGAUCGUUCAAGAACUUAUCGCUUCAUUUGCUGCGCCUCCUAUUUGCCGAUCUACAACCCCGAGGUUGAUUCUCUUUCUUGCCUUUUCAGGCGUUUCUCAUUCCUGAGCAAGCAUUCAACACCUCCGCAUUCAUUAGCCCGGCCCAACUUGAAUUUGUCACCUGUGUUUUGCGGGUUCCCUCGCGCCUCUUCUCCAGGGAAAUCAACCUGACUGAGCCACGAACAUACCGUUCGACAGGUCGUGUCAUCCCAGGCGUGAAAACGCUCAGUCAGUUUUCGACCAGAUGGCUGUCGGUGAUCAUGAUGAUGACGACGCUGAUGAUGAUGAUGAUGAAGAUGAUGAUGAGCAGCAGCAGCAGCGUGUCAGUGUCACUGGGAUUCAAGUGUCUGCAUUAUGGAUGGAAAAAGCAGUUUAAAAAUACACUGAAGCCUUUUUCAAUUAUUCACGCUUUUCUCAUCAAGGCUUUUUGAUGGCAGCAAGUCAACAAAAUUAGCCUUUUACGGGGGGGGGGGGGUUCUGUCUGUGUCAUGCAGAUGAAAACAACAAACCAAGCCGGCAUGUAAUGUCACAAUCCGGCAAAAUUCUGAAUGGUUUGCUCAAAGACCCAUUUAAUGAAAUAGGCACCUCGCAAACCCCCAAAAGAUUUCAUUUAAUUCAUUAAUUGAUUUUAAUAGGUGAAUUUAACACCUGAUUGGUGGACGGCCUCAGAGACUAAAACGAUUUGUACACAAGCAAUUAAAAAGUCCAUUUUAUAGAAUAUGUUGCCUUUAAACCACGAAUGUGUCUUAAUAAGGGAAGUUUGUGUGUUGCAUUUAAAAUGACUUACUGCCAUUAAGGAUUUAGAUGACUUUGUAAAAAAAAGGAAAAAGGAAGCAAGUCUGCCUACUGUAGCUUGCUCUUAAAAC